rnacentral:lncRNA from 1 species
CAUUUUAUUGUCCAUUUCAACUGUGAAAUUACCUUUCCCCAUUUCGGCACAUUCUGCACUUUGCCCGGGAUCUAUGAAUUAGUCUCCAGUUUUUAACAUUGUAUGCUUCAUGUUGAUUUUAGUGAUUGUUUUUUUACUGAUGUUGAUGUUUUUAUUGGGAUAAUUGUGUUAUUGCUUUGUUAUUGAUAUUUGAUUGUUGUAUCGGGCAAGGCCCCAUGUAAGCCGCCCCGAGUCCCUUCGGGGAGAUGGGGUGGGGUAUAAAAAUUAAGUUGUUGUUGUUAUUAUUAUUAUUAUUAUUAUUAUUAUUAUUAUUAUAUAUACCCGAUAUGCCCAAAUUUGAAUACUCGUGGGUUUUGAGGGGAAUUGGCCUGGACAUUUUGGAGUUGUAGGUAUUGGGAUUUAUAGUUCACCUGCAAUCAAUGAGCACUCUGAAAUCCACCACAGAUGGAAAUGGACCACAGUUGGCACACAGAGCCCCCGUGACCAGCAAAAAAUACUGGAUGUCUUUGGGGAAAAUUCAGCCUGACUUGGGGAGUUGUAGUCUGCUAUAUCCAGAGUGCAUUGAGAUCCCAAACACCAAUGGAUCUGGACCAAACUUGGCAUACAUACCUGAUGUGAUGGCUCUGGAACUCUCUCCCUAAGGAAAUCAGGCUUAUGCUGUCCCAUUACCCAUGGAUAAAGAAGGAGAAGCCCACACUCUCUCUGCCCUCCAAAAAUCAAAGAUCAAACUACUACUUGGUGAUGAAAUGCCUAAUGGUUUGUGCUGGUAAACCAAUGUGGAGAAUUCACAAAAUAGAAGCAGAAGAUGUGGCUGGAGAUAGAAAAGUGCAGAUCAAUCAAGAAAAUGACAAAGAACACAAUGAAACAGCAGAAGAGAAAGCUGCAAGUGAUGUCCAGCAGUAGUCGCCAUCUGAAGGUAUACUUCUAUGAAUGAAAAAACAGAUGAAUUACAAGUAGUUAGGUAUGUAUGAUUAGUUGCUUGCCAGGUUUGGCUUUUGUCCACUAACAGUUGUUAGGAUCUAAGAUUUUUGAAACAGAUGAAUGAGCUACCAUCAUUCUCUUUCCCCUUUUCCUCCUUGAAGUCUGAAAUUAAAUUAUAUUACGUAUAUGAAAGGAUAUAGGAAAAGCAAAUAAGAUGGUUACAGAGCUGUUGUUAAUGUCAAUGUACGAGCAUCUCUAAUUAAUCAUGCCAGUCAGCCAGUUGUCUUAGCUAUUACCAGUCCCAUCCAUUCAUACAACCAGUAUUUUUCACACUCCACCUUUUUAUAAACAACACAUACAUAGCUUCAUAGAGAAGGCUGGCCAUGAUCACAGAAAAAAGAGGCCCCACCUCCAUUUAUGGGUAGAAAUUAAUUAUCCAAAGGAUUAAAAAUAAAUUGCCUCAUAUUUGUUUACAAAUACAAACAAUGCAAUACCACAAAAUCCAGAUUUCUGGGCACCCAAUCAUCCUACAUCAUGCUGUAAGUGCUGCUCCGCUCUUUUAAAGGACAGAUUCCCACUUAGGUCCAAUUUGCACAGUGGCUUCACGUUGAAAUGGCUCCUGGAAAACCCAGUAAAUUAAUUCACUGGGAUUUGCUGUGAGUGAAAAAUGCUGAACACAUUUUAGAAUUGUAUCCAAGAAACUGUAAGAAACCAAUUCCUUGCUUCUGGCUUUUAAAUAUAUAUACUUUAGAAUCACAGUAUUUUUUCACCCUGGCUUCAGUUUUCCUUCUCUUCCGAUUGCCAUUUUCCCUCCCAAGUCAAAAUUCUGCUGACCCUGCCUACUUUGCAUAUUUGAGCCCACAGAAGUGGUUCACAAAGACAAGAACUGCUUCUCCCGAUCAUAUUCAGUUGGCUUAGAAGAGAGCCCAAAAGAGAACACUCCAGCCAGAAACCUCCUGAUGGGAUUUGUAGGAGUCAGCUAACUCUUUUGCAUAGGAAGUAUUUUCCAACUAUUUGAUGUAAAAGUUUCUGGAAUGGAUUUAAAGGGCUUGAUCAGGAGAUGUAAGAUUGAAGAAGAGGAACUCUGGGA